rnacentral:rRNA from 1 species
GACGAACGCUGGCGGCGUGCCUAAUACAUGCAAGUAGAACGCAGAGCGUAUACCGUAUGUUGCUACACCAUAGAGUGGGAGUUGGGAACGGAAGGGGAACUCGUAGUGAACCUGCGUGGGAGCGGGGGGUAGGUAUUGGAAGCUAUAGCUAAUAACGCAUAAUAUUCAGUAUUGCAUGAUGAUGAAUGGAAAGGUGCAAUUGUACGACUACCAGAUGGACCGGCGUUGUAUUAGCUAGUAGGGGAGGUAACGGCUCACCUAGGCGACGAUACAUAGCCGACCUGAGAGGAUGAUCGGCCACACUGGGACUGAGACACGGCCCAGACUCCUACGGGAGGCAGCAGUAGGGAACCUUCCGCAAUGGACGAAAGUCUGACCGAGCAACGCCGCGUGAGUGAAGACGGUCUUCGGAUUGUAAAGCUCUGUUGUACGAGAAGAAAGGCUGUCUGACUAGAAAUUACACACUGUGACGGUAUCUUAACAGAAAGCCACGGCUAACUACGUG